rnacentral:misc_RNA from 1 species
GCUCCGCUAACUCCCUUUGCCCGCCGAACCCCGCCAGGCCCGGAAGGGAGCAGCGGUAGGCGGGACGUUCGGCGCUCGUGGGGUAGCGGGGGUGAGCGA